AAUAAAGAGAACAUUUGUGCCUGAUGAUAGGCUUGAGAUGCUCUACUUGAAUGACAAAGCCGAGGAGGAAUUGAUGGAUGAUGAUGUAGACACUAUGUUAAUGAAGAAGCAGAACAUGCCAGAUAAAAAGUCACAGAAUAAUAAAGUUUCACCUUCCUGCAAACUGGUGCCUGUGAAAGAGGAGCCAUAUGACAGCAAUGAAUCCACAUU